UACGAAGGGGGCUAGCGUUGCUCGGAAUCACUGGGCGUAAAGGGUGCGUAGGCGGGCCUUUAAGUCAGGGGUGAAAUCCUGGAGCUCAACUCCAGAACUGCCUUUGAUACUGAGAAGCUUGAGUCCGGGAGAGGUGAGUGGAACUGCGAGUGUAGAGGUGAAAUUCGUAGAUAUCGGGAGGAACACCAGUGGCGAAGGCGGUUGCCUGGAGCUUUGCUGACGCUGAUGCGCGAAAGCGUGGGGAGCGAUCCGG
rnacentral:rRNA from 1 species